rnacentral:rRNA from 1 species
GCUCAGGAUGAACGCUAGCGGCAGGCCUAAUACAUGCAAGUCGGACGGUAGAUUAACUUUCGGGUAAUUGAGAGUGGCGAACGGGUGCGUAACGCGUAUGCAACCUACCCUAUACAGGGGGAUAGCCCGGAGAAAUCUGGAUUAAUACCCCAUGGUACCAAGUUGAGGCAUUUUGAUUUGGUUAAAGAUUCAUCGGUAUAGGAUGGGCAUGCGUCUGAUUAGCUAGUUGGCGGUGUAACGGACCACCAAGGCUACGAUCAGUAGGGGUUCUGAGAGGAAGGUCCCCCACACUGGCACUGAGAUACGGGCCAGACUCCUACGGGAGGCAGCAGUAGGGAAUAUUGGGCAAUGGACGAGAGUCUGACCCAGCCAUGCCGCGUGCAGGAAGACGGCGUUCUGCGUUGUAAACUGCUUUUAUCUGGGAAGAAAAAGCCCCUGCGGGGGAAAUUGCCGGUACCAGAUGAAUAAGCACCGGCU